rnacentral:lncRNA from 1 species
GGCUGGCUUAGCAAGGCUGCUGCCUCCCUCAUUAGCCUGAGCCGGCCGUUCGUAAUUGUUUUAAGAUUUUGUUUGAAGAAGUUCUGCUGUAAAGAGUUUGUUGGCAAUACAGCAUAUGGAACUUACACUGCUCAGAGCAGGUAUUUAAUUAGUGUUAGUUGAAUUCGAUGGUUACUAGGAGUCUGAAGGAUGAACAGGAAGAGGAGGCUGAAUCGGGUGACCAGUCGGUUAUUAUAGUUGACUAGGGGAGAGAUUGUGAGAACUUCAUGAACUCUGGAGAGGGGCAUUGGAAAUAGACAUAUGGACGAGCCAUUUCCGGUGCCCAAACUGCCCAGGCCGGUUGAGCAGGAAUGAGCGAGUAUCAGGCCCUCAAGCUGGGUAGACCUGUGAUGAGCGGGAAGGCGGGGCUGUGGACUGAGGCCUCUGUGAGCUCUGACUCUCCCACUGACUAGCUCCGUGAUCCUGGGUCGGUAACUUGACCUCAUCCUCAUUUCUUCAGCUGUAAAAUGAGGAGACAGUGGGAAAACCAGUCCAGGCGACAAGGGCAGAAAUUCCCCAAGGAAAUAGGAAAUUUUAACAUUCACAUCUAUUGACUCACUUCAUCCUCAAGGGAGGAAACUUGGAAGCCAAAGAAAAGCAUAAAGAAAAAACAAAAUCCUCUGCUACCCAGAAAUAACCUAUCAAUAAUUUGUAUUUUUUGGUCUUUAAAAAAAAAUAAAGCUGGAAUAUGAUAUAUAAU